rnacentral:tRNA from 1 species
GACCAUGUAGCUCAGUGGAUAGAGCGCUGCCCUGCGGAGGCAGAGGACGGAGGUUCGAAUCCUCCCAUGGUCG